rnacentral:rRNA from 1 species
GAUGAACGCUGGCGGCGUGCCUAAUACAUGCAAGUCGAGCGAACAGACGAGGAGCUUGCUCCUCUGACGUUAGCGGCGGACGGGUGAGUAACACGUGUAUAACCUACCUAUAAGACUGGGAUCACUUCGGGAAACCGGCGCUAAUACCGUAUAAUAUAUUGAACCGCAGGGUUCAAUAGUGAAAGACGGUUUUUGUGUCACGUCUAGAUGGUUCUGCGCCGCAUUAGCUGGUUGGGAAGGUAACGGCUUACCAAGGCAACGAUGCGUAGCCGACCUGAGAGGGUGAUCGGCCACACUGGAACUGAGACACGGUCCAGAGUCCUACGGGAGGCAGCAGUAGGGAAUCGUCCGCAAUGGGCGAAAGCCUGACGGAGCAACGCCGAGUGAGUGAUGAAGGCCUUCGGAGCGUAAAACUCUGUUAUUAGGGAAGAACAAAUGUGUAAGUAACUAUGCACGUCUUGACGGUACCUAAUCAGAAAGCCACGGCUAACUACGUG